rnacentral:rRNA from 1 species
AACGCGAAGAACCUUACCUGGGCUUGAACAGUGCGUGAAAAUCUUGAGAAAUCUUGAUUUCCCGCAAGGGACACGUAUAGAGGUGCUGCAUGGCUGUCGUCAGCUCGUGCCGUGAGGUGUUGGGUUAAGUCCCGCAACGAGCGCAACCCUUACCCUUAGUUGCUACCCGCAAGGGAGAACUCUAAGGGGACUGCUCCGGAUAACGGAGAGGAAGGCGGGGAUGACGUCAAGUCAGCAUGGCCUUUAUGUCCAGGGCUACACACGUGUUACAAUGCAUGCUACAGAGCGCUGCCAACCCGCGAGGGGGAGCUAAUCGCAAAAAAGCAUGCUCAGUUCGGAUUGCAGUCUGCAACUCGACUGCAUGAAGCCGGAAUCGCUAGUAAUGGCGGAUCAGAACGCCGCCGUGAAUACGUUCCCGGGCCUUGUA